UACAGAGGUCCCGAGCGUUGUUCGGAUUCACUGGGCGUAAAGGGUGCGCAGGUGGUUUGGCAAGUUUGAUGUGAAAGCCCCGGGCUUAACCCGGGAAUGGCAUUGAAUACUGCUUGAACUGGAGGGUUGGAGGGGGGACUGGAAUUCUUGGUGUGGCAGUGAAAUGCGUAGAUAUCAAGAGGAACACCAGUGGCGAAGGCGAGUCCCUGGACAAACCCUGACACUGAGGCACGAAAGCCAAGGGAGCAAACAGG
rnacentral:rRNA from 1 species